AGUCUGACAGAGUCGGUCGGCCGGUCGGGAAGGCAACCCCGGUGGUACAAACACAAUCGUGGACGAAAGUCGAGGUCGCUGCUUGCAUGCACGCGACUCGUAAGGAGCGGGACGGAGGCAGAAGGAUCCCAAGAGUGGACGCGUCCUGGGCGGGAAGUCGCCGAGCGGGUACCUGGGUCCGACGCGUAGUUGGGAGUUCCACCGCCAGGGAGCAGCAGCCGACAGAACAGUCUACAUGGGUGGAAAAGGAAGCAGCGAUGCAGCAGAACAAAAAGAAUGAGGUGGAGGCAGCAGUACAGUGCUGCCACACCACCGCCAUCGUCCACGAGCACCGCGCCUCACGUUGAGGUACCUCCGACACGGAAAACGAAAGAAACAAAAAAGAAAUCAAGAGAGAGAGAAAGACGCGCCCAGCAGAUGGAGUCGAACUUCCUCGAGAUAGACGCCUGCACCUGUGUUAUUUUCCCGACAUUGAUUUUGAAAGACGCACCACCCCUUUCGAGCACUUAUAACACCGCCUUUUUAAAUGAAUUCCUUAAUUGGCUGGAAACGGACCAAAGGUGAC